rnacentral:rRNA from 1 species
GGUUCAGGAUUAACGCUGGCGGCGUGCCUAAUACAUGCAAGUCGAAUGGUAGCAAUACCAUGGCGAACGGGUGAGGUAACACGUAGGUAACCUGUCUUUAAGACGAGGAUAACCGUUGGAAACGACGGAUAAUACUCGAUAGGUGAUUUGAGGGCAUCCUUGGAUCAUUAAAGAUUUAUCACUUAGAGAGGGGCCUGCGGCGCAUUAGCUAGAUGGCGGUGUAAUGGACCACCAUGGCGAUGAUGCGUAGCCGGACUGAGAGGUUGAACGGCCACAAUGGAACUGAGAACGGUCCAUACUCCUACGGGAGGCAGCAGUAGGGAAUUUUCGGCAAUGGGCGAAAGCCUGAACCCGAGCAACGCCGCGUGAACGAAGAAGUAUUUCGGUAUGUAAAGUUCUUUUAUCGGGGAAGAAAAUAUUCAAAUUGACGGUACCUGAUGAAUAAGCUCCGGCUAACUACGUGCCAGCCGCCGC